rnacentral:rRNA from 1 species
UCAGUUCGGACUGGAGUCUGCAACCCGACUCCACGAAGCUGGAUUCGCUAGUAAUCGCGCAUCAGCCACGGCGCGGUGAAUACGUUCCCGGGCCUUGUACACACCGCCCGUCAAGCCAUGGGAGCCGGGGUACCUGAAGUGCGUAACCGCGAGGAUCGCCCUAGGGUAAAACUGGUGACUGGGGCUAAGUCGUAACAAGGUAUC